GAGUGCACGUUUUUUAUCUCCUAAUAAUGCUGAAAAUUCUUCUCCUAUAUCUCAUCAGCCAUCUCAAAUUCAUUCUAAUUUUCCUCCACCUACUGGACACCAAACUCCAACCUCCACAUCAAUAGCUGGUCAACAAGACAUCCCAUAUUCCUCUCCAAAUGUUAGUCCUUACACUUAUUUACCUCUUAAUUCUACUUCUCA
rnacentral:lncRNA from 1 species